UACGUAGGGGGCAAGCGUUGUCCGGAUUUAUUGGGCGUAAAGAGCGUGUAGGCGGCUCGAUAAGUCUGCUGUGAAAGUCCAGGGCUCAACCCUGGAAGGCCGGUGGAAACUGUCGGGCUAGAGUCCGGAAGAGGCGAGUGGAAUUCCCGGUGUAGCGGUGAAAUGCGCAGAUAUCGGGAGGAACACCAAUGGCGAAGGCAGCUCGCUGGGACGGUACUGACGCUGAGACGCGAAAGCGUGGGGAGCGAACAGG
rnacentral:rRNA from 1 species